ensembl:lncRNA
CUGCUCUCCUUUCAGAUGCUCCAUUAAUAACAGCAGAACUAAAGCGAGUUAUGAAGCUCUACAGCUGUGUGGGUGAUGCCGUUUUCUUCCAGGACUCCUUAUGGCUUUAUUCCAGCCCUGUCCGAGGAGAACAGUCAAUCAAUCUGGACGGGAGGUCUGGGAUUUGGAAAUGGAAGGAGACGCCUCACGCCUCAGCGAUUCAUCAACACAUAAAUCUCCAGCCCUGACCCAGGAGAUCAGGAACAGAAACAGGCUAACACAAGCAGAUGUAAAAUGCAAAGGUGUUUUGCUGGAUAAAGCUAGGUGAUGGCACAGCCGGACGCCAGCAUCUGUUGCGAGAUGCAAGGACGUGCUGAGGACACGCAGCCCUCCGGCAUCCAGCUGUCCUUCUGUCGAACGCUGAGAAAAUGCCGCUUUCCUACCUUUCACCUCCUCGCUCUGAUGCUUAUCCGGCCUCAGCUGUAAACAUGCUAACUGACCGAAUGUGAAUAUCUGAGGAGAAGGACUGCAGCUGAAGUCGUUGUCUCCAUGGCGAUGACCUUCAUCAGCCUUAGAAUGUAACCUCAGAGAUAUGAAUUACAGAUGAGAGGUAAAGAUAGCGUCAAGCAAUUGCUUGGGAGUAUGUGUAAUGGAGAUAUAUUGGCAGUUUCCGUGCAGAUUUGGUCGGAGCUUCACUCCGCUCGCUCUUGGCUCUGAACUAGCUGUCUAGACUAGCAUGGACGCUGUGGAAAUCUCAACCGAGAUCAUUUAAAACCUCAUUAUGGAUGCAAGGCUCGGUACGGAGGAACGAGGGAGAGCAGGAAGUGAAGGGAAUGCCUAAUAAAGCCUAGAAACCAUAAACCA